UGAAGCAUUUGCCUGGAAUGAAAUUUGUGAAGUGCAGUUGAGAGAAAGUCACGGACCAUUUUGCUCUUGAUAAAAGUGUGAACUGCCUUAGGGCGGUUCUUCGAAACACACAGCAAGUACAGUCAACAGAUGCGUUGAGAUUGAUGUUGGAUUUCUCCAGCGUGAGGUGAAGAUUUGCUGCUGUUGCCCCGCCUCCCCCUUUGAACGGACUUUCACUUCACCGGUGCUCUUUUGAGCCUUUUCCCUCCUUGUAAGGCUUUGGUCACAUUAUUUUAUCUUCUGUCACAACGGCACUAAUUGAACUGAGACAUUCUUGCUGGAGCUGGGCUCCAUGCAUCCUUCUGCACUUUUGAUUGUGUUUUGUGAGAGAUGUUUGAAUACAAUUUAUUGUGAUAUAAGCGA